GGCCUUGUGGUGAAACGUUCAUGUUGAGUUGCAAACUCAUUGAUGUGCAUUAAAAGUGCGCCGAGGCCU
rnacentral:tRNA from 1 species